rnacentral:rRNA from 1 species
GGUUAAGCGACUAAGCGUACACGGUGGAUGCCCUGGCAGUCAGAGGCGAUGAAGGACGUGCUAAUCUGCGAAAAGCGUCGGUAAGGUGAUAUGAACCGUUACAGCCGGCGAUGUCCGAAUGGGGAAACCCAGUGUGAUUCGUCACACUAUCGUUAACUGAAUACAUAGGUUAACGAGGCGAACCGGGGGAACUGAAACAUCUAAGUACCCCGAGGAAAAGAAAUCAACCGAGAUUCCCCCAGUAGCGGCGAGCGAACGGGGAGCAGCCCAGAGUCUGAAUCAGCUUGUGUGUUAGUGGAACGGUCUGGAAAGUCCGACGGUACAGGGUGAUAGUCCCGUACACCAAAAUGCACAGGCUGUGAACUCGAAGAGUAGGGCGGGACACGUGGUAUCCUGUCUGAAUAUGGGGGGACCAUCCUCCAAGGCUAAAUACUCCUGACUGACCGAUAGUGAACCAGUACCGUGAGGGAAAGGCGAAAAGAACCCCGGCGAGGGGAGUGAAAAAGAACCUGAAACCGUGUACGUACAAGCAGUGGGAGCACCUUCGGGUGUGACUGCGUACCUUUUGUAUAAUGGGUCAGCGACUUAUAUUCUGUAGCAAGGUUAACCGUAUAGGGGAGCCGCAGGGAAACCGAGUCUUAACUGGGCGUUAAGUUGCAGGGUAUAGACCCGAAACCCGGUGAUCUAGCCAUGGGCAGGUUGAAGGUUGGGUAACACUAACUGGAGGACCGAACCGACUAAUGUUGAAAAAUUAGCGGAUGACUUGUGGCUGGGGGUGAAAGGCCAAUCAAACCGGGAGAUAGCUGGUUCUCCCCGAAAGCUAUUUAGGUAGCGCCUCGUGAAUUCAUCUUCGGGGGUAGAGCACUGUUUCGGCUAGGGGGUCAUCCCGACUUACCAACCCGAUGCAAACUACGAAUACCGAAGAAUGUUAUCACGGGAGACACACGGCGGGUGCUAACGUCCGUCGUGAAGAGGGAAACAACCCAGACCGCCAGCUAAGGUCCCAAAGUCACAGUUAAGUGGGAAACGAUGUGGGAAGGCACAGACAGCCAGGAUGUUGGCUUAGAAGCAGCCAUCAUUUAAAGAAAGCGUAAUAGCUCACUGGUCGAGUCGGCCUGCGCGGAAGAUGUAACGGGGCUAAACUGUGCACCGAAGCUGCGGCAGCGACACUAUGUGUUGUUGGGUAGGGGAGCGUUCUGUAAGCCUGCGAAGGUGGCCUGUGAGGGUUGCUGGAGGUAUCAGAAGUGCGAAUGCUGACAUAAGUAACGAUAAUGCGGGUGAAAAGCCCGCACGCCGGAAGACCAAGGGUUCCUGUCCAACGUUAAUCGGGGCAGGGUGAGUCGACCCCCUAAGGCGAGGCCGAAAGGCGUAGUCGAUGGGAAACAGGUUAAUAUUCCUGUACUUGGUGUUACUGCGAAGGGGGGACGGAGAAGGCUAUGUUAGCCGGGCGACGGUUGUCCCGGUUUAAGCAUGUAGGCGGAGGUUCCAGGUAAAUCCGGUACCUUUUUAACGCUGAGGUGUGAUGACGAGGCACUACGGUGCUGAAGUAACAAAUGCCCUGCUUCCAGGAAAAGCCUCUAAGCAUCAGGUAACAUUGAAUCGUACCCCAAACCGACACAGGUGGUCAGGUAGAGAAUACCAAGGCGCUUGAGAGAACUCGGGUGAAGGAACUAGGCAAAAUGGUGCCGUAACUUCGGGAGAAGGCACGCUGAUAUGUAGGUGAAGCCCCUGCGGGUGGAGCUGAAAUCAGUCGAAGAUACCAGCUGGCUGCAACUGUUUAUUAAAAACACAGCACUGUGCAAACACGAAAGUGGACGUAUACGGUGUGACGCCUGCCCGGUGCCGGAAGGUUAAUUGAUGGGGUUAUCCGUAAGGAGAAGCUCUUGAUCGAAGCCCCGGUAAACGGCGGCCGUAACUAUAACGGUCCUAAGGUAGCGAAAUUCCUUGUCGGGUAAGUUCCGACCUGCACGAAUGGCGUAAUGAUGGCCAGGCUGUCUCCACCCGAGACUCAGUGAAAUUGAACUCGCUGUGAAGAUGCAGUGUACCCGCGGCAAGACGGAAAGACCCCGUGAACCUUUACUAUAGCUUGACACUGAACAUUGAGCCUUGAUGUGUAGGAUAGGUGGGAGGCUUUGAAGCGUGGACGCCAGUCUGCGUGGAGCCAACCUUGAAAUACCACCCUUUAAUGUUUGAUGUUCUAACGUUGGCCCCUUAUCGGGGUUGCGGACAGUGUCUGGUGGGUAGUUUGACUGGGGCGGUCUCCUCCCAAAGAGUAACGGAGGAGCACGAAGGUUAGCUAAUCCUGGUCGGACAUCAGGAGGUUAGUGCAAUGGCAUAAGCUAGCUUGACUGCGAGCGUGACGGCGCGAGCAGGUGCGAAAGCAGGUCAUAGUGAUCCGGUGGUUCUGAAUGGAAGGGCCAUCGCUCAACGGAUAAAAGGUACUCCGGGGAUAACAGGCUGAUACCGCCCAAGAGUUCAUAUCGACGGCGGUGUUUGGCACCUCGAUGUCGGCUCAUCACAUCCUGGGGCUGAAGUAGGUCCCAAGGGUAUGGCUGUUCGCCAUUUAAAGUGGUACGCGAGCUGGGUUUAGAACGUCGUGAGACAGUUCGGUCCCUAUCUGCCGUGGGCGCUGGAGAAUUGAGGGGGGCUGCUCCUAGUACGAGAGGACCGGAGUGGACGCAUCACUGGUGUUCGGGUUGUCAUGCCAAUGGCAUUGCCCGGUAGCUAAAUGCGGAAGAGAUAAGUGCUGAAAGCAUCUAAGCACGAAACUUGCCCCGAGAUGAGUUCUCCCUGACUCCUUGAGAGUCCUGAAGGAACGUUAAAGACGAUGACGUUGAUAGGUCGGGUGUGUAAGCGUAGCGAUACGUUGAGCUAACCGAUACUAAUGAACCGUGAGGCUUAACCUUACAACGCCGAAGGUGUUUUG